CCUACGGGGGGCAGCAGUGAGGAAUAUUGGUCAAUGGACGAGAGUCUGAACCAGCCAAGUAGCGUGAAGGAUGACUGCCCUAGGGGUUGUAACCUUCUUUUAUAUGGGAAUAAAAAAGGGUAUGCAUACCCCCUUGUAUGUACCAUAUGAAUAAGAAUCGGCUAACUCCGUGCCAGCAGCAGCGGUAAUACGGAGGAUCCGAGCGUUAUCCGGAUUUAUUGGGUUUAAAGGGAGCGUAGGUGGAUUGUUAAGUCAGUUGUGAAAGUUUGCGGCUCAACCGUAAAAGUGCAGUUGAAACUGGCAGUCUUGAGUACAGUAGAGGUGGGCGGAAUUCGUGGUGUAGCGGUGAAAUGCUUAGAUAUCACGAAGAACUCCGAUUGCGAAGGCAGCUCACUGGACUGCAACUGACACUGAUGCGCGAAAGUGUGGGUAUCAAACAGGAUUAGAUACCCCUGUAGUC
rnacentral:rRNA from 1 species